UACACUCCUGCGGGAGGCAGCAGUGGGGAAUAUUGCACAAUGGGCGCAAGCCUGAUGCAGCGACGCCGCGUGGGGGAUGAAGGCCUUCGGGUUGUAAACUCCUUUCGCUAGGGACGAAGCUUUUUUGUGACGGUACCUAGAUAAGAAGCACCGGCUAACUACGUGCCAGCAGCCGCGGUAAUACGUAGGGUGCGAGCGUUGUCCGGAAUUACUGGGCGUAAAGGGCUCGUAGGUGGUUUGUCGCGUCGUCUGUGAAAUUCUGGGGCUUAACUCCGGGCGUGCAGGCGAUACGGGCAUAACUUGAGUGCUGUAGGGGUAACUGGAAUUCCUGGUGUAGCGGUGAAAUGCGCAGAUAUCAGGAGGAACACCGAUGGCGAAGGCAGGUUACUGGGCAGUUACUGACGCUGAGGAGCGAAAGCAUGGGUAGCGAACAGGAUUAGAAACCCUUGUAGUCCCA
rnacentral:rRNA from 1 species